rnacentral:piRNA from 1 species
AGGGAGAAUCUGUCCUGAAGCCCAGC